rfam:Gordonia sputi NBRC 100414 DNA, contig: GOSPT126.
AGCGUCUUUCUUCGGGGCGGAGCUCGACCGCCAACACAAGAAGUAGUCACGUUCAUCGAUGAUCAGCGGGCAGAAUUCGGGGUUGAGCCCAUCCUCGCCGUCCUGCGCAGCGCAGGUGUGCGGAUGGCCCCG